GAAGAAUUUUCGAGGUUCAUGGAAAUUUCUGAGACUUGUGAGAGGAUAGUCUCCUGAGUACUCGUACAAUUCUCAGGGAUUUCCUUGGACCUCGACAUUCUUU